AACGAACGCUGGCGGCAUGCCUAACACAUGCAAGUCGAACGGGAUCCUAGCUUGCUAGGUGAGAGUGGCGGACGGGUGAGUAACACGUGGGAAUCUGCCUUUUGGUUCGGGAUAACCGCGGGAAACUGCGGCUAAUACCGAAUGCCCUCGUGAGAGGAAAGAUUUAUCGCCAGAAGAGGAGCCCGCGUCCGAUUAGGUAGUUGGUGGGGUAAAGGCCUACCAAGCCGACGAUCGGUAGCUGGUCUGAGAGGAUGAUCAGCCACACUGGGACUGAGAUACGGCCCAGACUCCUACGGGAGGCAGCGGUGGGGAAUAUUGGACAAUGGGGGCAACCCUGAUCCAGCAAUGCCGCGUGAGUGAUGAAGGCCUUAGGGUUGUAAAGCUCUUUUGCCAGGGAAGAUGAUGACUGUACCUGGAGAAUAAGCCCCGGCUAACUUCGUGCCAGCAGCCGCGGUAAU
rnacentral:rRNA from 1 species